UGGUGUUUCACGCGGUCCCGAAACCGCAGGCUCGAACCACUGUCCGGUUCAGAUAAGCGCUCAUCCAUCAGCACGGCUGGUUGCGGCGCGGUUAGCGCGACCUCCGGAGCCGAGGUCCUUUGAGAUCCCAUCUGUCAAGUGGAGCCCCUCUCGUGAUUGCUGUCAUGGCCGCGAGUUUCAGCACAAAGCUUGGGGCACACCUGGGGCUCACUGACGGCAGCCUGCGAGCUGGCUACGUGCGUUUCUCUUAAAAUAUAAUCGCCUGCCUGUUGCUCAGGAUGUCAUCGGCCUAUGAGUUAAGGUGCCUCCCACAUUAAAUUCCUGAGAAUUCAUGGAGUCAUGUUAUGAAGUUCAACAAAACGCCUGGUAAGCCAAUCCGAGUGAAUGGUACCAACUGAGUAAAAAAACGGGCACGUUAUACCUUAAAGGAAAAUACACAUGAAAACAAGCCCCCAUUUCUACUGACCAAAAGGAUAAUGAGGAUUCAUUACCGUCAUUACCUCAUCAUUAAAAGGGCUGUUCUCCAAUGCUGUUCAGCCUCAUUAGAGGGAUCUUAGUCAUUGUGAUGCGCAGUGAAGUCACGUUUCUUUUUGCAAUUUUGUGAUUCAAAUUGUAACAAUCUUAAAAAAAACUUCCCCUAAAUUAUCCAGCGGGGAAGAGGUUUAGGUGGACUUGAGAGUCCUUACUGGAGUUUACUUUGAAAAACAAAGACGUGAGACUCCAUGCUGAGGGCCACCUACACUCAGUCACGCUCAGACCCACCCACACCGGUCAGUUCUUCAGAAAAACUCCUCCUCUUUUACAGGAGUGUCGGGCCGGGAGCAGUGAGAAAUUGUCUGUCCUGGCUCUCAAGCUGUGCACAGCCUGUCCUGGGUCAGGAGCCAGCCCUGCGUUUUGUCCUGGGGAUGCCUUCGUUUGCGCUGCACUUUCCAUACUAACAGCAACGACAGGUCCAGAGUGCGGUGCCCAGGAGGGCUCUGGGGACAGAAGAGGUUCUGUGCUCUCUGGGACGGAGUCAGUGUGUUUUCGGUGGGGACAGGACAACGGGCAAGAUAAACACAGCUCUGUCGGCCCGGGGGUCACGAGGAAGCCUUGACCCUGCCUGGAUCGCAGAAUCUUGGUCAGUCUGAGCCAUAUUGACUCCACUCCCCGCUUUGCCUGUGAUGGGACCAAGGUCAGCAUGAGAUACAGUCCUGGGCCCCGAGACAGGGGGCUCAGAGCCAGCGAGGAGAGCUCCCAGAUAAACGACCUUAACCACCUGACUCAUCAUGUUCCCAAGGCUAAUGUCUGAGGGUUUUGGGCUUGAAGUCACUCAUUACGCAGUCGGUCAGGAAAGGCCAGUGGAAAUGCCCAAGGUCUCUGACAUUUUCUAGCUGCUGAAAAAGCCCGGAGUGGCCCUGCACCCCCUGCCCCCGGCCUUCCUCGCAUGAGGAAUUAAAAAUCUCUAUUAUUAUGGUACUUUUGGUCGGGACUCCGAUAACUAGUAAAACAAAAGGUAUCUGCUGUAGACACGCACUUUUCUAGUUAGAUUCUGACUCCUGCAAAAGGUUUUGGGCUCAAGGCCCGGUCUCUCUCCAGGUUCAAGUGGGUAUUAGCAAAUGUAAAGGGUUCUGUUCUCAAAAUGACAUUUUUCCCCCUUUGUUGUAAUGGAAGGGAUUGAAAGAGAAUUGAAAAGGAAAUCGGAUUUCUCACCAGGUGAUUCUAAGUUCUAGAGUCCCACGUGGGGAUCGCGUGAAGUCACACAGCACCCCACCCGUGGGGAGUCCCCACGCUCCGGGGAACGCUGUUGUAAUACGGAGCGAAGAGAAUUGAUACUUUUCAUGAUGACAAGCUCGUAUGAAAUGUUUAGGUCAAAACGGAAAGUUUCGGAGGGUAUGAAGUAUCGCUCUACUCCCCGUGACUUUAGUAAACUGUGGUUUCGUACUUAAAUGUGUCCACACACACACACACGCACACACAGACACCCACAAGCUCGUGGACUCCUCUGGUAUGUUAGCGCUGAAGUUCAAGUCAAGAAAUCGAUAUAUUGUUAAUCAUCAGCUUGUUUUCGGAAACAGGGUUUCCCCAUGGAGUAGCAAAUGUUCGUCAAUGAAAUUCAUCGCGACAGGAGCCUUUGUCGUGGCUGUUUGUGAGGUAACAGGGUGGUGUGGGCGUAAACACAGUCCUGGCAAAGACCUCGGAUUCCCGCUGAUGUUGCCUGGGAAGGGACGCCCCUUGAUUUUGGUUUUCUUGACUAAAUCCCGCGGUGCUCCAAGAGCCUUCUGCUCCUGUGCUCCCUCUCACACUCUGCCCGACGAUGGCAGACUUUUCCUGAUUUUCAGCAUUUUGUGCCACAUAGAUGACUUUUGCCUUAUUUACUGUGAUGGAACAUUUGCCGUAAUGCAACGUAUAAUCAUAGCAGUGCUACUUAAAAUUAUCCUCAGACACGUUUAUUGAACCUAAGCACAUAUAUUUCGUACGGAAAGGACGUCUUCAUUGCAAAUGGGAAACCACGAUCACUUGCUGUAAGAGGAAGGCAGUUAUGCAUCAUACACAGCAAACCGUUGUAUUUAGGUGCUAAUGUCCACCUAAGACUUGAAGUCAGAGUCCUGCUUCCUCUCCGUGGGUGAGGGAGGGUAAUAAAUGUCAGGCUGAUGUUAGAGACUCAGGAGUAGCAAACGGAGACUCUGAUGUGAUUAGGACGGCCCGGCGGGUACCGGAAGAGAGCCAUGUUGUCAACCGUGGCAUUAAAUGUCAGUUACUGAAGCUUCAGUUUUGGCAUCCUGCAGGCCGUCUGGCGCAUCAGGUGAGACCUCAAAAGUGUGCACUCCCCACUUUGUUUCUGAUACCGCUGGAUGCCUGCAGGGGUUCUCUCUUCUCCCAGCAGACACCGUGCCCUGUGGAACUUGAUGCCUAAGAUUGAGAUAUGAGGACUUGAUGCCUGGAGCUGUGGCAGCCAUCCUGAUCCUAUGAGAGGCUGCUGCUGGGGAGAUCCGGGACUACUCACGAGUGUAUGCAGACAGGUGAAAGAAAGUGGGUUUUCCCGGGGAGCAUAACACAUGUCCUCACGGUCCCGCACUGUUCACACUAAAGGUGAGCCUCUCCAGCUUUCCUCUCUCUGCCUGCCGGCCCCGCUGUAGGCGAACAUUUUCUUUCUGUGGGUUAUUUACCAAGCGAGUCCGCCCAGAGGCCACAGGGCUUCGUGCUGGACUUUCAAGCCGGAGGACGUAUGCGUCCUCCUCGCGGAGGGAGCUGGAGGAAUCCGAAUGCUGUCUCCAAUAUCAACGCCCCGAACCCCCGCCUUCUCCUGCCUGUGAUCAGAGCCACACAGUGGCCCCAGGACGCCACGCUCCUUAACUCUUCCUCCCAUUUGGACCUCCCGUCAGUCCCCAGUGGAGAUUGGGGACAGGAGGGCCCGUGUCUCUGCCCUGGAGGGACAGCCUUAUGCCGACCAAAUAAGAAGCGUAGGAAAGUCAUCAUGGAAGCCUCCCCGGAGGUGGCGGUCCGUGUUGGCUCUGAUUAUUUCCCCCACAACCCGCCCCCCAACUGAAAGGUAACGAUCAUCACGCUGACGUUCUUUAGUGAGCAGUUACCACGUGUCCCCAACUCCUUCCAGAGCUUUCUACCUCUUGUUCCUGUUGGCUCCCCCGCAGCCCUGAGACGCGGGUCCUAUGCCUGUCACCUGUCCCACUGUGGAGGGCAAGAAGGAAAUGACUUUCCGAGCCACUGCGGCGAAGGGAGCCCUGUCUACAUGAGGCCGGGGCCACACAAUCGCAUGCACUCCCUACAGUAUGACCCGGGGGACCGCCAGCCAUCGGCCACGGUGCUGGGAGCCCGGACACCAGGGCCAGACCGGCGGGGGCAACACCCGGAUGACCUUGGACGAGCUUCUUAACUCUCUGCCCGUGGGUUUAUUCACCUGUACGUGAAAAAUCACUGAGAUAAGCUAUGAGGACGCAUCCUGGUGUAGAGUCUCCCCUAUAUUAAAAUAAUUUCUGGUCUGGACUGUUUCACUGAAGAACCCCCAGGUCAGUUUCUACGUGCCUCGCCCCCUUGGCGGGUCAAACUCCUCAGGGGUGGAGCUUGUGAGCACCUGCCGGGAAGGCGUGGCCUGGCCGCUGGGUGGAGCUUGUGAGCACCUGCCGGGAAGGCGUGGUCUGGCCACUGUGACUCUGGAACCAGGCCGGUGAGGAAGAAAUCACCUGUUCUGCCCGCGUCGUGGAGAGCGCACCUCCCAGCUGCACGCCCUAGACAGGACCAAGCUUCCGGAGCCCAGCUCUGUCGUUGACCCUGCGAGUGCAGCUGCCCCAGAGACACCUGGUGCCUCGGAUUCCUGGACCUUUGGGGGCCGCUUUGGAAUAAACCCAUUGCGGCUCGGCCUUUCCCUGUGGGGCCUCCGGUCUAUGAGAAAGAGAAGAAGACAGCCAGGGAACGUUGCACUUUAAAUACGGUUGAUCUACCCUCGUGAAUGAUAAGCCAGCCAAGCCCUAUUUUACAGCCAUUUAUUUGCAUUUUCUGAACUCACCCACUGUUUCACUCCAUCGGCUUUAGCCUUUUUCUCUAAAGCUGUAUAGCCUUGCUUUCACUUUCCCCAAACUUGCCCUUUAUACUUAGAAACUCAGGUUUUAUCUUUCUUCCACGGUGAUUGCUAUCUUGUUUCCAAAAGAAAGAAGAACAAGAAAGAAAAGAAAGGAAGGAAAACCACGAUAAAGAGCAGUUAGGCGGAAAGGCAGUGGCCGUGUUGAUGAAAUCUGGGGGACUCGGGGAAGACGUGUCAUGAGCAAUCCCAGGCCACUUCAGCUAGUGGUGCUGGCCGUGUGCAAACAUCUGGGGUAUUUGCAGAUAUCUUCACCCUGGGAUGGAAAGUUGGGAGCAACCAUCCGGAUGUCUGGCUACAUGUUUCAUUUUUUAGAUGGAUUUUUAAGAGUGCCGUGUAGGAACUUCCAGCAGUGAGGCAACAUACAGUAAAUUCAGCAACGCUUUUAUUGAUACGCUGUGAAUCAAUAUCUAAGUGGCAGAAUUAUAUACAUAGCUAGCACAAGCACGUAAAAAUUAUUGUCGUGUGUUAAAAAGUAUUAAUUCAGAGGGGCGCCUGGGUGGCUCAGUCGGUUGAGCGUCCGACUUCGGCUCAGGUCAUGAUCUCCCGGUUUGGGAGUUCGAGCCCCGCGUCGGGCUCUGGGCUGACGGCUCGGAGCCUGGAGCCUGCUUCGGAUUCUGGGUCCCCUGCUCUCUCUGCCCCUGCCCUGCUCAUGCUGUGUCUCUCAAAAAUAAAUAAACGGUAAAAGAAUUUUUUUUUAAGUAUUAAUUCAGAGAAUGUGAGCCUUGGAAAUACAGCCCAGUUUCUAUAAUCUUGUAUUGGCCUUUCACCAUUAAAUAAAAAAAAUCAGCCCGUCGGGUAAAGAAAAAAAGAAUGGCAUGUUUUGGGCCUCUGUUAGAGUUUGGUGGGCCUGAUUUCGGAAGGAAUCCACCGAUGAUGGGCUGGAAGGCUGGGGGGGGGGGUUCAGUACCAGGAAGUGGGGUGAAGGUAGGCGUGUCCGAUGUUUGCUCAUGUGGAUGGGCUCUGGCAUCUGUGAGCACACAGCAGUGCAAGGGAGCCCACAGACAGAAGCCUGGAGCCCCCGGCGGCCUCAUCAUCUCUGGAGCAAAACCUUCCUCCUCCAUCAGGGAGUGAGGAAGGACAGCCUCCCUCCCCACCAGGUAGAGAGGACGAUGGAGAAGAGGGCGCCUCCGAGUGUGCAGGGUGAGUGAGCUUCGUGGAGCACAACCCGCCAGCCAGUGGGUGAGUUCUCAGCCCCAGCCUCCGCCCUGGCCCUGCCGCUCUUGGGACGCAGCUCUCAGGGGGGCCAGCUGGGGACACGGCUGCACAGGAAUGAUGCCACAGCUCACGGGGACCCGGGAAGUCAGGGCUGAUCCCAGCCUCAUGUUUGUUCCCAGCAACGCUGGAACUAAUAUAUUUAAUGAGAGAGUCGUUUGGGUGCCUUUUUUUAAAGAAAUACAAUACUGAUCGUAGUAUUCACAGGUGCUUCAAAAAUGGCCUGUUGAGUGGUGAUACCACUUGUAUGCGUGUUAAAAUUGUCCUGUUCCCCAGAUCUGAAGAAUCACCUGGCCGGAGCAUGCCAUAGCUUCUAAACACGAAACAGUGUUGGGUGUAGUUAUUCCCGAAUGACUCUAUUUCUUCAAACAAAAUGUUAGAAGUCAGUAUUCUGUUUUCUAACGUGGAAUAUUGGUUGUAGGGGCACCGGUUUCCUAAUGGGAUGCUUGUCACCUUCUCUGAGGCUUAAAUAAACGUUUUCCUU